rfam:Sphaerobolus stellatus SS14 unplaced genomic scaffold SPHSTscaffold_3, whole genome shotgun sequence.
GGCAACAUGGCCGAGUGGUCUAAGGCGCCAGAAUUAGGUAGCAGGUUUUACUUGCAUUCAUAAAUCUGGUCCGAAAGGGCGCGAGUUCGAACCUCGCUGUUGUCA